AGAUAAAGACUCAAGUGUCACCUUGCUCGUGUCCUCGUUAGUGUCACCCAAGACAGUGAACUCUGAUAGGGUAACAGUGGUCGAACCCCGUCAUCGGAGCUCGGACUGUUCUGGCCCACUGGUGACAACCCCGUGCUUCAGCUUAUCUAUAACAGCUGUCAAGGAAGGCUUCUUAUUCCUACUGGGAG